UUUCAAAAAAAUUCAAUUUUUCUUAGGCAGACGAUUUUAUUGCAUAUUCUUGCACAAAAUACACCUAAAAGUGUAGAAAAAAAUCGACAGCCAAAUCCGAGUAGAGGAAGACCUCUAUUACGACCAAAAAGUCAUCCAGGUCAAAAAAAAAAUUUCCAAAAAAAUUCAAUUUUUCUUAGGCAGACGAUUUUAUUGCAUAUUCUUGCACAAAAUACACCUAAAAGUGUAGAAAAAAAUCGACAGCCAAAUCCGAGUAGAGGAAGACCUCUAUUACCACCAAAAAGUCAUCCAGGUCAAAAAAAAAAUUUCCAAAAAACUUAAAUUUUUCUUAGGCAGAAGAUUUUAUUGCAUAUUCUUGCACAAAAUACACCUAAAAGUGUAGAAAAAAAUCGACAGCCAAAUCCGAGUAGAGGAACACCUCUAUUACCACCAAAAAGUCAUCCAGGUCAAAAAAAAAAUUUCCAAAAAAAUUCAAUUUUUCUUAGGCAGAAGAUUUUAUUGCAUAUUCUUGCACAAAAUACACCUAAAAGUGUAGAAAAAAAUCGACAGCCAAAUCCGAGUAGAGGAACACCUCUAUUACCACCAAAAAGUCAUCCAGGUAAAAAAAAAAAUUUCCAAAAAAAUUCAAUUUUUCUUAGGCAGAAGAUUUUAUUGCAUAUUCUUGCACAAAAUACACCUAAAAGUGUAGAAAAAAAUCGACAGCCAAAUCCGAGUAGAGGAACACCUCUAUUACCACCAAAAAGUCAUCCAGGUAAAAAAAAAAAUUUCCAAAAAAAUUCAAUUUUUCUUAGGCAGAAGAUUUUAUUGCAUAUUCUUGCACAAAAUACACCUAAAAGUGUAGAAAAAAAUCGACAGCCAAAUCCGAGUAGAGGAAGACCUCUAUUACCACCAAAAAGUCAUCCAGGUCAAAAAAAAAAUUUCCAAAAAAAUUCAAUUUUUCUUAGGCAGAAGAUUUUAUUGCAUAUUCUUGCACAAAAUACACCUAAAAGUGUAGAAAAAAAUCGACAGCCAAAUCCGAGUAGAGGAACAUCUCUAUUACGACCAAAAAGU